CACAGUCUGUCUAGAAUGCUUUUGG
rnacentral:piRNA from 1 species